rnacentral:rRNA from 1 species
UACGGGGGGGGCAAGCGUUGUUCGGAAUUACUGGGCGUAAAGGGCGCGUAGGCGGGUGGACAAGUCUCUCGUGAAAGCCCACGGCUCAACCGUGGAAUUGCGGGAGAUACUGUCUGUCUUGAGUGCGGGAGAGGAGGGUGGAAUUUCCAGUGUAACGGUGAAAUGCGUAGAUAUUUGGAGGAACACCGGUGGCGAAGGCGGCUCUCUGGACCGGUACUGACGCUGAGGCGCGAAAGCUAGGGGAGCAAACGGG